GAUGACUAGGAGCAAUGGAGUAACCCUUGGAGAAAGAGGACUUGGCAGAUUUUUCAUCGAGUCCUGGCACUUUUGGGGAAACUCUUUGCCAUAGAAAAGAAAGUAAAAGUAAGUGAUCUUAGAAGUUGGAGGAGUAAAAUCUGGCAAGGUGAGGUUUAUGGUGCUGUUUGGCAUCUUAAAUUGACUGUUGUAGCUACACUUGAAAAGUGAUAUAUAGGCUGACUUCAAAGGGAAAUGGUGCUAUAGUCAAUUUCUUCUGAAAUGCUAAGAAGUGGAGUGUCCAUCAAAGGAUAGAUUUUGGCCUUGGAGAAUUAGAUUUAUGUAUAUUAAAAUACAUCUGAGUCAUAAUUUUAAUGCAUGAUGUUUUAAUGAAUGGUAAAUAAAGGCCAAAAUUUAAUGCUCCUAUUAAAGAAGAAAUCCAUGUAAAUAAGAUGCGCCAGAAACAGCUGAAAAUAGAGCCUUUUGCAGACAGGUCGUUUGAAUUUCUGCACCUUCACAUUAAAAGUUACAUGAAGAGUUCUAACCACAUUGCCACCUAGCAGCCAGCCAGGAGAACCAAAACAUAGCACUAUUACAAUCUGGCAAAUCCAAGUCUGUCUGCAAAACAAAAUCCCAAUAAAACACUAAGUUGCAGGAAGUCAACAAUUUUAUCCAGUUAGGCAGGAUAAGUGGGCUGGUGCCAAUCUGGUAUCUCACACUUCAACAGGAUAGACACAGCUGCAGUGGGAUGCUGGUGACAAUUUUUCGUCCAGCAGUCUGGGAUGAACAUAAAUCUGCUUAUAAGCAUGACAUUUCUGUGGAAUUUAGUAGUCCCUUACCCUGCAAUUCAAACUAUCUGGUUUUAGAGUUUUUUGGCAUCUACUCACAUCUGAGUCAGUGUGAUGGCUCGAAGGUAGAAAACCUGGAACUGAAAAAAACAGAUCCUUCUCCUCCUUCAGGAGCCAUAGAUCAGCAUUAGUGUGUUGCUGGCUGGACACCUGCGUUCUGCCCCCACCUUCUGCACCAAUGGAGGUGGGAGCCUCACAUCCACACACCCCAUACCAGAGCAAUCCUCCUCCGAGACCUUGUCAUCCCUUUGUCUUUCUAGUCCCAGGAUGCUGCCAGAUGAUGGCCACUUAAUGGGACGUGCUCCCAGCAGUUUACAGCCUGUUUUGGAGAGUGGAAACAUGUUCAGUGCUGAGCACUGCAAAAGGGGAACACUUUUGUGAGUGUGCUGGUGAUCUAAUGCAAGCAAGGAUGCUCCAUCUGACUUAGGACUGGAGGAAGCCACCCUACAUGCCCAGGAAUUAUUCCAGUAGUGCUUGCACUCGUGUGGGUUAUUUUGCCUGAAAAAAAACUCCAACAACCAAAAAAUUCACCCAGAAUGCUAAAAAAAGGAGACCAAAUUUGAUGUUUAAGCCUGUAGAUAUUACUGCUAUAUUUAUAGCUACCCAGUGUCAUGGGGUACCAGACAUGGAGGAAGAGCCAGUGCCUGUAGCAAAAAUCUGUUUGGAGGAAGCUGUAGUGAGACCCAUCACUGUUAAAGGAUCUGAUUUACAGAAGAGGGCCACAAGAUUUUCUGGAAGGACCUAUGUGAUAGAGCAAACAGGACAGAGAAAAUAUGGGGGAUUUAGCAAUACUUAGCAGUGCAUCUUGAAAGGCAGAAACAGCAACAGGUGUCUGCAAUAGUGAAACCAUUUGUAAGGCUGCCCCAUCACUUAUCACCCCUUGACCCCUUGUAUUCUGGAGACCUGGUGUGUCUGAGGGCCAGCACACAUCCCCUGCCUCUUGUGAUGAACACCAGAGUGAGCUUUCAUGAAAAGUGGGGUGGUGGUGAUGACAGAAACAUGUUCUGUCAAAGUGACAUUCAGUUCUGGGCCUUGCUUAUGGUAUGCCUGCGUCAGCUUACAUCCUUGAAUAUUUUAAGCCUGACAUUCACACCUUGUGUUUUACUACCUGCAGGAUUGGCAUCCUCAGUGUACUUUGAAAAAGAUGCACCACUGCUCAGAAAUCUCUGCAAUAAAUGUUGUGUUUUAAGCAUUUAUAUAUGACAGAAAAAUGUAUAUCCAAUUAAUACCUCUGAUAUAUAUACACACAUGUGCCAGUAACAACUUUAAAACUUUCAGCAUUUGUUUAUGGUGCAUAAAAUUCAGUGGUAUUCAUGCUGCAAAAACUGGAAGGAUAACAUGAAUACAUAAGGUGCCUUAGGGCAAUGAAAGUUAGUUCUUAGAGAUAUUUGUGACACAUUAUUUAAAAUAGAAUGAUUAACUUUUGUUACUCCAAAUUGCUUCUGUUGGCCAUGGAUAUAGUAAAUCCAUUCCUAGUCUGGCUACUCCUCUCCUUCACUUCCAAGAAAUCAAGUUUUUGUUAUAAAAAUAUACAUGUAAUUAAAGGACAUGUAAUUCAGCAGAAAGUAUUUUAAAUGCAUAACUGAUUAUCUGCUUCCUGUAAUUGCUGGUUUGUAUAUUGAAACUUAGAUUGAGUUGGCAGACAAUAAAAGAUUAUUUUUUAAUUAGAUAUACUCAUCCUUAUCAUUUGGGAAUAGGGGGAUAUUUUCCACCACUGUUAUUCUUCCUAUCCAGGAACACACACUAAUCUCUUGCUUGAUAUCAAUGUCAUUUUUUCCCAAAUGAGAAACAAACAGAAGCCUGCCUCUCCUGCAGGAACAGCGUGGCUAGGCACUGUCGUUUCAGUUUGAUAGGAUGCUGGUAGCAGGAUGUAUAUGUAUGCAUUAUAUGACACGCACCAAGACUACAUAUCAGGGCCAGUUUAAAGUACUGAGGUUCGCUUACAAUCCCCAAGGAUUUUUUGCAUUCAUUCUUCAUUAGAAAUUCUACUUUUGCAUCAGAAGAUUGUCAACACAAAAUUAUGACCCGCAGUUUAUUCUUUUAUGGGGUCACAAACUAAUUUUUUUCUUUUCCUUGUGACAAACUAAGCAAUUGUUAGCUGUUUUAGAAGGCACUUCAUGUAACCUCUUGCCCUGCAAACUCCAUCUAAAAUGACAAUCUCUAGAGACCUUUCUUUGCUUGAUAAACUGAGUUGCAGCCUACCUCUGGUUUAAUGUACAAUAUAAUGGGCACUGGAGUGUUAGGAGCUCUCUGGUAAUAGUGUGGCUGCAAAAUAUGAUGUCUAGCUGGUGACUUGGGAGCAACUUGCCUUCAAAGUAUGAGCUCUCAAUUUAUAAUUAUUUUCUCCUGUGAGGACAACAUUUCAAAGUCAACUAUAGGGUCCCCACACCUCUCCUACUCAUCCUGCCCUCCACCAUACACAGCUGCAUUUCUGUCAUGUGGCGACCAGAACAACUGAUUUCAUGGCAAAGAGUGGUUUUCCAUGUACUUCUAGCUGUUCUUUUAUUGUCAUUCAGCCACUAGAAAAGGAGGUGGCGGAACACUGGCUAACCUUACCAAGUCCUGUGAAGAGAGUAGUAUGAACCCAUGUGUGCUAGCACAACCAGUGCUUGGAUCACAUUCUUAGUUAGAAAAUGAAGUUUUGUGAUUCGGGGGACGUGACAGAACUGUCCCUCUAACUGAAAACAUACUGAAUUUUGCUUGCUCCUAAUUUUUAGUUAGACUUCUCCUUUCGACACCUGCAGUCUCCUCUGCUUCCUCCUCCAGAUCUUAUGCUGUUGCAGCUCUGCUGGUGUAACUCCUAUUCAUGCCAUCCAUUAUAAUUUUCUUCCUGAUUGCUGUAAAUCUCCUUCUACUGCAUUUUUUUUUUUCCAUGGACCUCUCUCUAAACAAAAGGGAUGUGAUUCUUCUCCCCCUCCCACUGGCUUUAACCUGUUGUAGCUUGACAUGUCAUUAUUCAUGAUUUAAAUGAGGUUAAGUGAGACUAGAAUGGUGCACUGAGAUUUUCAUUAUGACAAAGCCAUGCUAUUCUCUUCAUGCAGGCGAUGGUAUUAUAUCACCCUGUCCCUUCACUGAUUUCAAAGGCUUCCUUUUGCCCCGAUCAAGUUCAAUAGUAUGCUAAGGACAUUCAGAUCUUGUUUUCGAACUUGCCUGACCCCGCUUCUCUGAUCUCAUAUCCACUCCCACACACAUUUAUUUGGCUUUUCUAAUCUGGCUAUCUCCUGUGGCUGCCCAGCUCUGAGCAUCUGGAUAUUCACUGUUAUUUAUACUUCCCAUUUGUAUGAUGCUUCGAGCUCCUGAGUAAUUUCCCCUCUCUCUGUCUCACCUUUGAGGCUUUUCUCGCCCUCCCAGCUGGUGAGCAGGCAAUCCUGCCACUGUCCCUUUCCACCUCCUUGGGAUGAUGCUGGUUGACACCACAGGCUGCACCAUGAUGCCUGACUGCAGAGCUCCUGGUUGGGUUGGGCCGACUCCUCUUUCCCUUAUGAUUUCAAAAGAUCUGGUUGCUCUUCUGACUUGCAGCAACUGUCCAGAACCCCUUUGCUGCGCAGGUGUUGGUGAGCACAGCCAUCAGGACAUGACCGCUUCCCUUGUCUUGUCUGCAACAAAACUCCUCACUCCAGCAUCCUCAGUCUAGGGCUGCCUUCCACCUCCUCUCUGCCCUAAAGGGGACACACUGAGCAGGGUGUCUGAGGAGGGUGAUGGGGUGUCCCCCAAAAGCAUGUGUGGCUGUUCCCUUCUGGGCACACCAGAAUCAUGGGGGGUGUCUCUAACUUCAGGUCGAAGUGGCAGAACACAGGUAUUCCCAGUUUGGUGAGCACCCAGGGACCCUUCUGUGAUUAGAAAGUGAUAAUAAAGCAAGCUUUGUCAAAGCUGAUGUUUUCAGGCUGCACUUUAAUGCCAUUUACUCAGGAUUUAUGCUCCUGCAACAGGAUCCUCACGUGUGCAGGCGUAGGCUCCUCAUUCCUUCCUUUCAGUAAUUGCUUGGCUGCCCUUUAUGUGGAGAAGAGAAAGUGAGAGGUGGUGAGCAGCUAUGUAACCUCCAGCUGCUACUGCAUCUUCAGGAGGCCUUUCCGUCUGGCAGGUGUAACCUUUGGAGAAGACAUAUGUUACCAUCACUCUUCCUCUCCACCCACCGAGCUACAGCUGAGGUGAUAUGUCAUCAGAUGAUUCAGAGAAGAACCUCAGGGCAGGACUGCCUGAAAUAUCCUGGUAUCAGAUAUACUGAUCAUCUCUGGAUGACUUCCUUACUAUUAGGGGACAUAUUACAAUAACACGUGGGUGUCCUGCUUCCCUCCUGGAGCAGAAAUUUGCAUGUGUAUAUGUGAGUCUUGAGAGGUGUGUGCACCUCCCCAGUGCAGCCGCAGAUUCUGUGCAACUUUUUGUCUUCAAAAUAGGUCCAGCAGUGCCUUUAGCAAAGUGUGGUAUUCAUGCAUUUGAGAUAUAUGUAGACAGAAAGGAAGAGAAGGCUUACAUUUCUGUAUAAAUGACAGCAUCAUUGCUGGAAAACUUUUUAGGGAUCUGCCACCAUCCCAAAAGGUGCGAUAGCACUGAGUGACUCCAGAGAAGCUGUGUCUUUUUCUGAGCCUUAAUAUCAUGUGUGAGGCUAACAGGUCAGAGGAGAACACACUCUGACUGAUUUGUCCUUCACCUGCACCCAACAUUCUCUUUGCAACACAUAUGUGAGAGAGCUGUGGAAAGAGAUGACUGGGGAAUUUGACCACAGGGGAAAUUGUGUCAGGUCUGUUACAGCCCAUUAUGCAGAGAAGAUCAACCCUGGGACAUGUGUGACAGUCAAUCAGUUGUCUUCCAUGGGAGUGACUAUGGCUGGGAAGGAACAGGAUUGUGCUCCUGAAAUCUCAAGGUGCUUCUCUGGAGCUGACAAGUUGUUUCCAUGAAAUCAGUUUCUCAGAAAACCCCCAGCCUUUCUAGCUGGUGAGGCUGAGGUCUCUUCUGCUGUUUCUUCAGAGGGUUCAGGCCCUUUCUUGAGGGCUGGAAAGGUCCUGGUUCCCUCCCAGUGUGAUACUUUAUCUGUUGUUCUGCUCACAGCAGAGCAGGAGGGGUUGUUAAGAUUCUUCUUAUCCUGUAGAAGUGUUAUGUUUCGAGCUAUUGUACACUGUGGACACACAGUGUAAAAUUCCCCUACAGAAUUUUAAGUUAAACAAUUAUUUACCUCUGUCUGGGAUUUCAGAGGCUCUGACUGCUCAGGCAGAGUAAAAGCUUCAGGUACAUUUUCUGCAUGUGCCCAGAUAAGCUAUAGAGCACAGGCCUUUGGUCUGUACACCAGACAGAUGUUCUGUAUGUGAGCAAUCAAUGCCACGUGUUUCCACGUACAGACCAUCUGUGAAACAUAGGCAUAGAACGUCUGAUACUUCCUGAAAACCUGGGACAGAAAUAUGGCAACCCUAUGGUUGAUGCUCUGCUAUGUGACUGACACCAGAGUUUCGAAAGGACUUUGGACUUUCAGCUGUUGCUGAUUUCAGCAUAUCUCCCAGAGCAGAUGCUGAGCAGGGCUUGGACUCCGUGGCUGGGUCAUUUGGUAGGACAGAUGUUGCACAUGCAGGUCCUGAAUAGCAAGGAAAGGUGUGGAAGCUCUUAAAUGGGAGGUGAUUUGAAAUCUAUGCUGCAAUGUGGAAGGCUGCAAAGUACAGCUGGGGUCAGGAAGAUAUUUUAGCAUGAAUCCAAUGUGAUGAAAGGGCCGUGUGGCUUUUUUACUGGAAUUCUUCAAAUACAAAAGAACGUACAUACUUGUAUUAAUAUCUUUUAUUUAUUCACUUAUUAACCAUCCUUGAAAUUACAGUCUAUUGUAAAAGUAUCACAAUUUUAUUCUCCAGUGGAUGCCUGAUUAAUAUCUUGCAAACCAUGCAUGCCCUGCCAAAUGAGAGUGAUGUGUGUCCCAGCUGAUAGCUGAUUCUUUAAGUGAGUUAUUGUCUCACUUAGCAGCUGUAGUAGACUAGACACCCACUUGAUGCGCCCUCCCUGUGCGGAACAAAAUUUACUUAAUUUUACUCUAAUUUAGAAUGGUAUUAGCAUAAACAUUCAGCAGUGAGAAAUUGCCCAAAGGCUUUUCUCUUGCAUUUUCCCUGUGGGGGGAUUCAUAUUUUAAGCUCUCCCAAAGUAAAAGGUCAUCCCAUUUAUUCCAAGCCUUGCUGGAGAGUAACCUAUAGCCAAUGUUUAUACAGAACACUCUCAUUAGCCCAGUCCUGCUGCCUCUUGAGAGUAUUUUGAAGAUUUUUCAAAUUUGCAGCUUUCCCAUAUCUAGGUAUGAAGAGAAGAUAGCUUUUGGAGCAGACUGCCUGUUCUUGGAGAAGGAAAGUAUAAACAUUGGGGAUCAAAAUGUCCAUCAUCCCACCCGGAUUUUCACUGCCUGUGGAGUUCCUGGAGCAGGUACCUGGGCACAGUUCAACAACGCUUCACAUCCAAGUUCAUCUCAGCCUCCUGUCUCAUUCUUCUCAUUUGCCAUUCCCAUUCCUUUCCUCUCCCCUUUCUCUGGACUCUCCUACCUACCAAGUCUCUGUUUUGGUGUGCUGCCUCACACUCGUACCUGCAACCACAAGAAGACGGAGGUGAUAUUGAAGGUAUUUGUUUUUUUGAGCUUAGCUUAUCUCUCAGAUGUGAUUUGCCAUCUUUUUGUUAUCAUCAGCCAUCCUACCAUUCUUUAUCACUAUCAUAUUUGCUGAAAAAUCAGUGCAAAAUACCUGUAUAAUUUUGGGGUUGGAACCUUCAAUUCUUUAAGUUCUUGCCCACUCCUUUCCUCUGAAGACCCCAUUUCUAUUUAUUCCUGUAUCUUUUGCAAGGUCUCACUCUGCUUGAGUUUUGACAUUUCUCAUUUUAGUGUCAAGUACUGUUUCCUACGCUGAGUCACUUUUUUCCCCAUUUUUUAUUGGCUCUCGGUUGAUUGCUAUUAUCCUUUGUUGAGGUGGUUUGCCACUCACAUUUAGAGUAAUUUUUACAGGCUUUGUUCUACCGUGCUUUGGGACAUGUGCUGAAGAUAGUUUCUAUACUUUCAGCUGAAAGGAAUCUUGGGCCUUUCCCACAUUUACGCCUUUCAGUUCUUUAGUCCAGCUGAGUUCACUAAUUGUUUCCCCCCUUAAUUUCUCAAAUUUUGCCCAUUUGAAAUGUAGAACCUUAAUUACAGAGCUAUUUUUGUUUACUCUUUCAUUUAAUUUAAACUGAAUCAACUUGUGAUCACUCAGUCAAAGGUUAUUUUCUUUGAUCAUUUCUUCUGUAAUGUGCUCACUAUUUACCAAAACCAAUCCUAAAAUAGCAUCAGUGGUUCAGCACUCUUUGGUGAAUUAAUUUGUUGGCAAUUACAUCUAAGACUGUCUGGGCCAUGCUGCCAGUAGUAGCUUCUGUCUCUGUGAAACUGUAUUUAUUUCCCUCAAAUUUCAUUAUUUAAUGGCAUGGUACAUCAUCUGUGAUUUUGAAAAAAAGAAGCAAAUCAAAUGUUAAACAAUCUACAGAGGACAGAGAACACAACAGGGAGCAUCUUUAUGGCACUUUGUAAUAGUAUGCAUUUCUGGUACAGCCCAUCUCAUAAAGGAUACAUCACACAGGGAAAAGGUCCAGAGAUGGGCAGCAAGAAUAAAAUAUGGAAGAGCUUCUGUCUGAGGAAGAACUGACUGGAAAAACAUCUGGAGAUGAGAUAAUUGAAGCUAUUUGUACUGACAGACAGGGUGUUAUAAAGAUGGUAAAUAAGGAAGGGUUUAUCGCUGUCCUCCUACACAUAAGGGUAUGUAAGGAGGUAUCUGAAGAAACCGGGAGAUGGUUGUUUCAAAAGGGGCAGAAGGAAACGUUUCUUUGUAUGUUAUGUAGUUCUGUGAAAUUUCUUCUUGCCACAGGUUGUUGUACCUGUUUAUAGGGUUGAAAACAAACCAACCAGCCAUAGGCAGAUCAAUGGAAGGAAAAAACCCAGUGGACAAUACUGGCAGUACCUCUGACUCACAAAGCCCAUGUGUGCAAGGUGCAAGUAUCACUACAGGCUUUCUGUCUUAUGUUCUGCCUUGGACACCUGGCCUUGGCCAUCGUAUGGGACAAGAUAGACUUCUAGUCUGUAGGGCUGCUUCAUAACUCCAUGUCCAGUGAUUAGAAAAGGUCUUCAGCAUACUACAGAUUAUAAUGCCUCCAAAAUGAUUCCCAGUUCAUAAGCAGGGAAAACACAGGAAGAAUAAUAGCGAUGUAUAUUUGAUUUUUCUCUCUUUGGAAAUUUGUACAGGCCUGGAUAAUGCUCAGUUCUGCAUGGUAGGUACUUGCCAUUUCUGCUUAAUUUUCAGGCACCUUUUCAGUUGGAAAUGGUCUCAGUGCCUUCUCCAUGCUCCAGCAAGCAACACGUCACAGAGUAAAAUGCCAGGGAAGAACAGGCUUCUGCUUGCGGUCAUCUAAGGAAAAAAGGGUCAGUAAAACAUUCAGUUAUGAAAAAAGAAAAAAGAGAAAAGAGAAAAGAAAAAAGAAAAAAGAAAAAAGAAAAAAGAAAAAAGAAAAAAGAAAAAAGAAAAAAGAAAAAAGAAAAAAGAAAAAAGAAAAAAGAAAAAAGAAAAAAAAAAGGAAAAAAGAAAAAAGAAAUAUUUAUGUUGCAGUAGCAAUAAGAGGGAAGUCUGAGGUGUCCCCUUGUGUCUGUGGGUCAGAUGGUUCCCAGUAUGGAUUUUUGCCCCAGUGUGGCUUGUAUUUCUCUUGACAGAAAUCAAAGGCUGCAAGUGCAUCCUGCCUAGACUGCUCGUAUGACUAGUGACAAGCUGAUGCUGAAGUGACUGCAAUGUUAGCUACUGAAAGCCUCAGGCAACGUACAACAGGCGUGACCACCUCUACCUGAGACAGAUGUUAUUCCCACCGGAGUACCAGGUAAGCCCAGUGGCUGGCAUUGCUGAUCAUCUUGCGGUACUGAAGGCUUCAGUCCCCUCUUCGUCCAAAGGCUUGUUGUGGUAGGGACUGUGAGGUCUCAGAGGCAAUUUGUGAGCUGCUCUACUUAACGGAUAAGACUGUUGUAUAGGAAAGGGCUUAGUUCUGGUGAAGAAUGCCUUACCUUGAAUACCCUCAGCCAGCCAGCCCCAUUCAAUCAAGUGGAAUUCCCCCUUGAUUUUUAAUUAACUGUCUUCCAAAUUUAGUGUUUCCUUUUUUAGAGGAUGUAAAGAAAGCACAAACGUAAGCUUUCUGAAGAAUUUUUUCUCUGUCAAGAUGCAGCAGCAGAAUGCUACACAUGGGAUUAUGAAAAAAUACCCAGAUUCUCUGAACGGAAAUCGCUGAUUUUCCCUCCUUCACUCUAGAUGAAAUAUUCUUGUCAGUAACAUGAAAAGCAUGUCCCAGCAGUCCAAAAACAUCUUCAAGCAUGUAGCUGUCAUGGUAGCCAGUGUAGGUUGAAGAAUGGGAGUGGUGGAAGUGAUAGGGAUAACUGAUAAUAUGUUCCUAGAGAUGCUGAAAGGAGAGAACUGGCUACAUCAAAAUGACAAAACAGCUCUUUGUCCAGAGGCAACAAGAGACAGCUGCUCUUAAGGGAGGACAAACAGGGAGAUGAGGCUGACCCCACCCUGGGCAGUGAUGGAGCAUAGUCCUGAGGGGCAUGGACAUGGUGGGCGGAGCUUGAUGGGUCCAUCAACAUUCCCAGACCAGGCAACAAUUGAACCAGAUCCAGAGUUCACAUCAGGACUACCAUCAGGAGGAAAUAGAUCCAGGGCCAGAACCAGAGCUGGACAUAUGGCUACAACAUGGUGCAAAGUCCAUCCAGGAGAAAAAGACAAAAACAGGACUGGAGACAAGCAACAGAGUAGCCCUGUGCUUAUGUAAGUCAAUAAUUUGCACUUGCUUCUUUUCUAUUCAAGAUGUCUUUUGAUCAUUCCAAGGUACUUCUGAGUCCCACUUUGUGUCCAGAAUGUUUUGGACGCCAUGCGACAGGAAAGCAAUGUGAACUGAGGAGAAGAGCACAGGUGACAAUAAUUUGAGGAUGCUAUUGGAUACAGCAAGACCAGAAGAAAAAAUCAACUGUCCACAAAGCUCAGUACAUCACCAUUAUCACAGCUUGUCUAAGAGCAAGUAGAACAACUGCCUCCUGAAAUCAGCACUUUGAAGGGAUGGUCCCUCCUAGGUGAGAGGCAAGUAAUGAAAUUUUGCUGCAAAGUAAAAAUCAUCUGAGAGCAGAAAACAGGACAAUCCUGUGAAUAGAAAGCUGGAAGCCUCCAAGGAGAACCUGUGAGUGAAACUUCCAACAUCCUCCACUGGUUAUCGCAGUGUCAGAGAUUAAAGAGACCCACUGCCUCGCCUAAUUCACUGUGCCUGCCUUUCUCCUGCUCAAGCUUGUCCUAUUUUUCAGAAGUGUUUACCUGAUUAGCACAUGCAAUCACUGAUGUGUGCACAAGGCUCAGUUUGGGUUUUGAAUGUUCCCUGAACCUUUCCCUCUAGAUCAAAGCUCCCACGUCCUCCCCCGCCAGAUCAGCCUCCUGCUGAAGUCGGUGUGACUUUGGCUGUUAACUUUGGCCCGUGAACGCAUUCCCGGAGUGCAGAAUUAGGUGUGCGCUCCCACACUUUGCUGCAUCAGGACCUUUGUUAGAAACAGAAUCCGAGCCAUCAUGUUUUUACAUUAUCAGUCAUUUGUGAAUUCCUUAUGAUUUUUUUAAUGACUUUUGCAGAGAGUAGUCAGAUGCUAUUAAAGUUUUACUGAAUUAAAUUGGAGAAACUAAUUUUGCUCUUAGUGUUUUAUUUCAGUGUGUAACUUGAUUUUUAAGAAGCACUUUGUACUGCAUGGCGGUUUGCAUUUGCUUUAUAAGCAUAACAUGAAGGUUUCCCUGGAGUCAUGGAAAAAUUGCCUUCUACGUCCCCUAUCUAAUUAACACUAUGUAUGUUGCCUAACUCCUUAUAAUUCACUCCCAUGCACAGUAUAUAAAACAUGAUUGGAAAAAUAAUUUGAAGCAAUGAGAAAAAAAUGCCUUUUGUCAUAUAAUAUGGCCAAAUCCACUUUCAACCAAAUUAGAUUAAAAAAGUAAGGACAGCAGCAUUGAGAUAUCUGAUGCUGAAAAGAGACACCAAAGGCUUAAUUAAAGAGUGUGCUUAUGUUUUUAAAGGAGACUGCGUUUAAAGCAUAGUAAUGAAACCCUUCUUGCUGAAUAGCUCGGUGACCUGUCUGUGUCUGGGGCUGUAGCUGCCUGGUUCCCUGGUGAGAGCCCUGAUCCGAUGUCCAAUGGGUCACAGAGGAGCUGCUAAAGCCCCCGGUGUGUUCUGGUGGGUCACAGGUUUCCAGGAGGGAGAACAAUCAGCCAGCACAUGGUUAAUUGCAGGGCUGGAGUCUAUUGUGAGGAUGUAGACAGAUGAGCCGCUGCAAUCAAGUAAAUCCAAGUAUUGCCUCACAGCUGAGGGGGUGGUAAGACUUAAAACCAUUCUAACUAGAUUGUAAGCACUGUCUGACCAGACUGAGGAUUUUUUUUUCUCCUUAUUCCCCGUGGAGCCCCAAGGACUAAUAUGAUUUGGAGAGAGAGCAAGUGUCAGUGGACUCAAUUCUUGCUAGUGCAUCAGCAGUGGAACUAAAUUCCAAAUGAAGAGGUUAACCCCUCACCCUCUGCAGAUUCGUUGAAGUUAAUCAGAUUGUGUGUGCAUAAGCCAAGGCUCUGCUAAAGGCAAGAGGACAGAUUUUGUGUCCUGCAUAAAUUACACAUGGAGGCAGAGAGCUGGGACACACGCAAGGGACUGAAUCAGUUCAGUCACCCAGUACCAGCACAUGUCAUGCCAGCCAAAGGCAGCUCGUGCUGUAAAGUUGUCACCUUUUCUAGGACCUGUGACAGCAGGACUCGGUUCUGGCCUGCCACCUCUUUGCUCCUGUCAUGUGAGAUGGACACCCCCUCCUCCACCUUCCUUGGGGAGGGUCAGCUCGUGUGGGACCCCAUGAGCCUCUUGCUUUCAGAUAUUGCUCACUGCAGGGCUCUCUUCUGAGGGCUUGUCACCACCAGCCAUAUCUGGGUGUUUUAAGGUCAUGUUGCACUUCCUUGCCAGAGGAAGAGAAGGAAAAGACAUAAAUAUAUAGUCAUCUUUU